UACAGAGGUCUCAAGCGUUGUUCGGAUUCAUUGGGCGUAAAGGGUGCGUAGGUGGCGCCUUAAGUCAGGUGUGAAAUUUCGGAGCUUAACUCCGAAACUGCAUUUGAUACUGCGGUGCUUGAGGACUGGAGAGGAGACUGGAAUUUACGGUGUAGCAGUGAAAUGCGUAGAGAUCGUAAGGAAGACCAGUGGCGAAGGCGGGUCUCUGGACAGUUCCUGACACUGAGGCACGAAGGCCAGGGGAGCAAACGGG
rnacentral:rRNA from 1 species